GUCGAACGGACUCAUAUUGAAACCUAGUGAUUUAUGAGUUAGUGGCGCACUGGUGAGUAACGCGUGGAUAACCUGCCGUAUACCGGGGGAUAACACUUAGAAAUAGGUGCUAAUACCGCAUAAGCGCACGGCUCCGCAUGGGGCAGUGUGAAAAACUCCGGUGGUAUACGAUGGAUCCGCGUCUGAUUAGCUAGUUGGCGGGGUAACGGCCCACCAAGGCAGCGAUCAGUAGCCGGCCUGAGAGGGUGGACGGCCACAUUGGGACUGAGACACGGCCCAAACUCCUACGGGAGGCAGCAGUGGGGAAUAUUGCACAAUGGGGGAAACCCUGAUGCAGCGACGCCGCGUGAGUGAAGAAGUAUCUCGGUACGUAAAGCUCUAUCAGCAGGGAAGAAAAUGACGGUACCUGACUAAGAAGCCCCGGCUAACUACGUGCCAGCAGCCGCGGUAAUACGUAGGGGGCAAGCGUUAUCCGGAUUUACUGGGUGUAAAGGGAGCGUAGACGGCAGCACAAGUCUGGAGUGAAAUCCCGGGGCUUAACCCCGGAACUGCUUUGGAAACUGUGCGGCUGGAGUGCAGGAGGGGUAAGCGGAAUUCCUAGUGUAGCGGUGAAAUGCGUAGAUAUUAGGAGGAACACCGGUGGCGAAGGCGGCUUACUGGACUGUAACUGACGUUGAGGCUCGAAAGCGUGGGGAGCAAACAGGAUUAGAUACCCUGGUAGUCCACGCCGUAAACGAUGAUUACUAGGUGUCGGGGGAUCAAGGUCCUCCGGUGCCGGCGCAAACGCAUUAAGUAAUCCACCUGGGGAGUACG
rnacentral:rRNA from 1 species